rnacentral:rRNA from 1 species
ACACGUAUUCAACCUGCCGAUAACUCGGGGAUAGCCUUUCGAAAGAAAGAUUAAUACCCGAUGGUAUAAUCAGACCGCAUGGUCUUGUAUUAAAGAAUUUCGGUUAUCGAUGGGGAUGCGUUCCAUUAGGCAGUUGGUGAGGUAACGGCUCACCAAACCUUCGAUGGAUAGGGGUUCUGAGAGGAAGGUCCCCCACAUUGGAACUGAGACACGGUCCAAACUCCUACGGGAGGCAGCAGUGAGGAAUAUUGGUCAAUGGGCGCAGGCCUGAACCAGCCAAGUAGCGUGAAGGAUGACUGCCCUAUGGGUUGUAAACUUCUUUUAUAUGGGAAUAAAGUUUUCCACGUGUGGAAUUUUGUAUGUACCAUAUGAAUAAGGAUCGGCUAACUCCGUGCCAGCAGCCGCGGUAAUACGGAGGAUCCGAGCGUUAUCCGGAUUUAUUGGGUUUAAAGGGAGCGUAGGUGGACAGUUAAGUCAGUUGUGAAAGUUUGCGGCUCAACCGUAAAAUUGCAGUUGAUACUGGCUGUCUUGAGUACAGUAGAGGUGGGCGGAAUUCGUGGUGUAGCGGUGAAAUGCUUAGAUAUCACGAAGAACUCCGAUUGCGAAGGCAGCUCACUGGACUGCAACUGACACUGAUGCUCGAAAGUGUGGGUAUCAAACAGGAUUAGAUACCCUGGUAGUCCACACAGUAAACGAUGAAUACUCGCUGUUUGCGAUAUACAGUAAGCGGCCAAGCGAAAGCAUUAAGUAUUCCACCUGGGGAGUACGCCGGCAACGGUGAAACUCAAAGGAAUUGACGGGGGCCCGCACAAGCGGAGGAACAUGUGGUUUAAUUCGAUGAUACGCGAGGAACCUUACCCGGGCUUAAAUUGCAGAUGAAUUACGGUGAAAGCCGUAAGCCGCAAGGCAUCUGUGAAGGUGCUGCAUGGUUGUCGUCAGCUCGUGCCGUGAGGUGUCGGCUUAAGUGCCAUAACGAGCGCAACCCUUGUUGUCAGUUACUAACAGGUUCCGCUGAGGACUCUGACAAGACUGCCAUCGUAAGAUGUGAGGAAGGUGGGGAUGACGUCAAAUCAGCACGGCCCUUACGUCCGGGGCUACACACGUGCUACAAUGGGGGGUACAGAGGGCCGCUACCACGCGAGUGGAUGCCAAUCCCAAAAACCUCUCUCAGUUCGGACUGGAGUCUGCAACCCGACUCCACGAAGCUGGAUUCGCUAGUAAUCGCGCAUCAGCCACGGCGCGGUGAAUACGUUCCCGGGCCUUGCACUCACCGCCCGUA